AGGCUCUCUGAAAGGGAGCUUUGAUACAGACAAAGUGAGCAGUGGGAUUCCUCUCGGCUCAGAGGCAGACACACCAAGCAGCCACGAGACUUGACCGGAAGGACAAGACAGGAAGCCAGUGUUGAAAUAGGUGAUCAAUAACUGCGUGGUCCCCAGAGAGAUGACUGUUCAUGCAACUCUUCAGUGUGCCCUUUCAGAGUCACGAUGAAAACCCAGGGACCCCAAGGAGAGAACAGCAACCACUGCCACUGUAAGAAGCAAGAGCAAUGUGUUUGCAUGGCAUGCAGGCUCCUCAUCAGUAAUAUCAGAGGAAAACCAUAUAUAGCAACAUCAAGUUGUUUCAAAAGCUCAUCUGUUUCUCUUAAAUGCUCUGCUUGACACAGACACAAUUGUGUGUCCUCCUGCUUCUAGAGGGUUCUAUUUUGUUUGGAAACUAUUGGUUUUCUGACUGGCCAGAUGUGGUAGUUUGACUGUAAUUGGCCCCCAUAAACUCAUAGGGAGUGGCACUAUUAGGAGAUAUGACUUUGUUGGAGUAGGUAUAGCCUUGUUGGAGGAGGUGUGUCGUUGGAGGUGGGACUUGAGGUCCCAUAUAUGUUCAAGCCACACCCAGUGUUUCAGACCACAUCCUGUUGCCUGUGGGUCAAGAUGUUUUAACUCUGAGCUCCUUCUCCAGAAUGGUGUCUGCCUAGAUGCCACCAUGUUGCACCAUGAUGAUAAUGGACUAAACCUCUGAAGAUGUAAGCCACCCAACUAAAUGUUUUCCUUUAUGAGAGUUGCUAUGGUCAUUGCAUCUCUUCACAGCAGUGGAAACCCCACCACAGAAACCUCUUGUAGUUUUGUGAAGUUAGAAUAAUCUAACAUCAUUAGUGUCAUCUCUCUGAUUAGUCCUGGUGAUUGAAAGAAUCUGGACCAACCCUCCCUCCAAGACCAGAACAGCAGAACAAAUAGGAUUGUAACUCAACCAAUGGUGAUUAAAUGUUGACAUUAGAAGGUCUGUAGGGAAUUGAAAUGAUUGUUUCAUCAGAAGUCACUAGUGGAUGCUUACUAGCAGAAAUUUGGAGGAAGAAUCUGGUAUGUGGCCAAAUUCUAUACAGAUAAGAAUAAUUUGAUUGCUACGAGCAUGCUAGUCCAAGGACUGAGUAAAACUGCAAAAUAAUUGUCUACUGUUGAUUCCUAUGUGAAAUUUGAAUGUUCCUACUGUAUUCUUCACUUUUCUAUUAUUUUUAGUAAGCCCUUUUUAGGCUCUUCAGAGUGUGAUACCUUAUUCAUUUUCUUACUGUGGAACCGAAGAUCACAACCUAUUUACUUAUUCCCAAAAGUUGACUUCUGGGUUUUGUUUUACAAACCCAAAGGGUUUGUAGAGUGGGUCUUGGCCUUACCUGUUUCUUUUGUUCCUUGAAAGACAAAUGCUCAUCCUUUGUCAUUUACUGGCUUUGAAACAGAUGGCAGAAGAACUUGUAACUGUGGGGAAAUUAAAACACUCUGAAGUAUAAAGUUGCUGGAUUAUAAC
ensembl:lincRNA